AAUGCAGCUAACAGGCAGUUAAAGUUGAAAAGUAAGAAGAGUUGGGACUAAUACUUCGUAACAAUAAAUAUUUUAUUUGUUACAACAAUGAAAAUUAUUUCUUUACUAUCUUUAGUCGUCUGUGUUGUAGCUACAAUGGCUAUGCCAUCAAAAGUCUCAUCAACGUAUAAUGAUAAUUACCCGGGUUUGAAAGAUGAACUGUGCAACGACCACGACUAUCGAACAGACAACUACAAUUUAUUUGGGCAACUAAUUUAUCUACUUUUGACAAUACCAGACGAAGAUAACUAUACGCAAUACAAUUGCCGUAAUUACUUAAGUAUUUCAAAAAAAGCACUGGCUGUGUUUCUUCGACUUAGAAAUAUUGACAGAGUGAACUAUGAAAAAUUCGACUCCCAUCCAAAGAGAACUUUAGAUAGCAUUGGUGGUGGACACUUAAUAAAAAGAAGCGACAAAAUGGACUUUUAAAUAUUUAAUUAAUUUUAUAUCUUAAGAAAUGCUGAGAAAAAAUUUGUCUGUAAAUUUUUUUUUGUUCUUGAGUGCAUGCACCUACAAAUUAAUAUUAAUGUUUUUUCUCUACAAAGCUGACUUUAAAAACACGAAUCUGGACAAUAUAUACGUAAGGAUGCUUAUCGAUUUGGACAACAGGAUCCGACGAUGUCUCUUAUCAAACUCUUUCGAAAAUAUUUUAACUGUCAUGCAAAACAGAUGCGUGCCACCAAAAUGUGAUUUAAAAAAACUCUUGUGGUACAUGUAUGCUACACACGAAAAUAUGCCUUUUCUAGAUGAAGACAGUUGGAAUAGUAACAAGAUAAAAAAAAAUUUUGAUGAAAUCGACAAGACUUCCGCCUCUUUCAGCACUCUGAACCAAUUAAUUUAAUACUCUGUAUUUCUACUCAUGCAAAACAGCUUUUAUAAUAGACUGUAUUGGACCAUUUAAAAUUUUAGGUGCACAUAGAAUAUAUCGUUUAAAUAAAUGUGAGACAGCUGCAAAAACUAAAACAUAUAAAUGUGUAUGUUUGAUCAAUGUUAGAUUAGUGUUCAAUGAUGCCUUUAAAAAUGUUAAAGUUAAAUUAUAUAUUUUAUUCUGUAAUUUAACAUUUUUGUUAGUAAAAUUAUCCAAUUUUCGUCUGCAUUCUAAGCAUACUAUAUAUUACUUUAAAUAUUAGAACUAAAAAUAAAAAGCAGUGUUCUUGCAAA